CUCUGGACAAGUUUUGACAAAUCUCCCCCUCUGUACUGGCACCGCAGCAAAGACAACAGUAGGGACGGCACGUGCCCAAUGUAGCCAGUGUUUAGCUGAAGAGCCCAAGUAUUGCAUGAAGUUACCACAUUGCUGGUGGGAAUAUUGGAUUUAAUAGUACGGUGGACACGGGUUGCUCAGUCUAAAAUAAGAAAGGAGACAGCUAUAGUUUUUCUACAUGCAACAGCCGAUAAAAAUGGCGAGAAUACAAGGGCACUUUCACACUUAUUGCACUCUGGAUCAUCUGACUACAAGCAAUGCUGGGAGCUCCAUGGAGGAACACACAAAACAACAGAACUCACAAACAGCAAGAUCAUCUUCCUAAAAUUUGGAUCUCUUUUUGUAUGUGUACAGAGGCCCUG